ACUCAAAUGAAUAGACGGGGACCCGCACAAGCAGUGGAGUAUGUGGUUUAAUUCGAAGCAACGCGAAGAACCUUACCAAGUCUUGACAUCCCUUUGACCGGACUAGAGAUAGUCUUUUCCUUCGGGACAAAGGAGACAGGUGGUGCAUGGUUGUCGUCAGCUCGUGUCGUGAGAUGUUGGGUUAAGUCCCGCAACGAGCGCAACCCUUAUGCUUAGUUGCCAGCACAUCAUGGUGGGCACUCUAAGCAGACUGCCGGUGACAAACCGGAGGAAGGUGGGGAUGACGUCAAAUCAUCAUGCCCCUUAUGACUUGGGCUACACACGUACUACAAUGGCCGGUACAACGGGAAGCAAUAUCGCAAGAUGGAGCCAAUCCUUAAAAGCCGGUCUCAGUUCGGAUUGCAGGCUGCAACUCGCCUGCAUGAAGUCGGAAUUGCUAGUAAUCGCGGAUCAGCAUGCCGCGGUGAAUACGUUCCCGGGUCUUGCACACACCGCCCGU
rnacentral:rRNA from 1 species